rnacentral:rRNA from 1 species
UACAGAGGUCUCAAGCGUUGUUCGGAUUCAUUGGGCGUAAAGGGUGUGUAGGUGGCGCGCUAAGUCGGGUGUGAAAUUUCGGAGCUUAACUCCGAAACUGCAUUCGAUACUGGCGUGCUUGAGGACUGGAGAGGAGACUGGAAUUUACGGUGUAGCAGUGAAAUGCGCAGAUAUCAGGAAGAACACCCGUGGCUAAGGCGGUUCUCUAGUACGGUACUGACGCUGAGACGCGAAAGCGUGGGGAGCGAACAGG